rnacentral:misc_RNA from 1 species
UCCUGGUUUCCCAGGCAGUCUCGCUAGAGUGCCUCCUUACGGAGUAGCAACUAGCGACAGGAGUUGCGCUCGUUAAAGGACUUAACCCAACAUCUCACGACACGAGCUGACGACAGCCAUGCAGCACCUGUGUACCUGUUCAGGCUUUCGCCUGAAAAACUGUAUUUCCACAGCGGUCAAGUACAUGUCAAGCCUAGGUAAGGUUCCUCGCGUAGUGUCGAAUUAAACCACAUGUUCCACCGCUUGUGCGGACCCCCGUCAAUUCCUUUGAGUUUUAAUCUUGCGACCGUACUUCCCAGGCGGAUCACUUAACGCGUUAGCUACGACACUAAUCACGCAAGCGCGAUUAACGUCUAGUGAUCAUCGUUUACGGCGUGGACUAC